GGAUGUAGCCUAGGAGAUUCAAGGGAAAGAAAACUCAUCCUUGCAAAGUAUAUGAAUGUUAGUGCUGCUGUGGGGUAUGCCAGGGAGCACCACUGAACACAUGUUACAGAGGAGGUGCAGGAGAAGAGGGGGUGUGCUCAUCACCAACUAAGCAGAUGGACAGCCUGGACGGAUGGACUGGGGCUGUGGGAGGUUGGUCAGUGGGCUGACUGGCUGUGGACCAGAUGGGUUUGGGGAUCCCAUGGAGAUGGGUGAAAUUCCAGCUCCAUUCUCUCAUCAGUAGGAAACCGAGCAUGUGACUGUUGACAUCUUGGAAAGGACUAGACCAUGAGAUCUUCCUUGCUCCAAUCCCAGACAGACUCCGGCAUGAGAUGGUGGAGGAGAAUUCUGGCUCCAGGAGCAUAUUCAGCUGAUGGCUAAAGGGACCAGAAGAUCAAUUAUCCCAACAAUAAUAGGAAAAUAACCAGGGAAGAGCCUGUAAUCUGGGCCUACUUCCUCAGAAUAGUUUGCAGAAAUCCCACUGGUUGUAAGAACAGAGGAAGCCCCACCCAGCUUGCUGAAGCCCUGAGACCUUCACUGCAGGCACACUGAGAACAGAAGAUACGGAAGUACUCAGGCUGUACUUAUGAAAAAUCAAUACUCACAGACUUUUAAAGAAAAGUUACUUUGCAUUUGGGAAGGGGGAAUCCUGAGACAGUGACUGUUGCCUAGCCUGGCUGACAAUUAUAUCCCUUAACAAAAAAGUGUUCCUGAGGUCUUUUCGAAUUUCAACACUGUAAUGAUGAAAAAAUAGAAAAUUCUCUUGAGGGAAACCUGAGGGAUAUGUCAUUAUCGAGAACGUGGGGAAAGGGGUCAAACUGUUUUUCCAGAAAGCUUAAUAAUCAACUAGGCAAAUAUUGUAUCAGCUAUCUCACCUCUGCAAAAGAUUGAAGAGCUGGAGGCUUCUGUAUAUCAGGAAAGAGUAUCUGGGUAGGUAUCUUACCUGAUAGGGACAGGGGUAUUAAAAUAGAAAGAGGCGAGAAGAUGGGUUUUGUCUCUGAAGCAAGCUGUUGUCAGGCUUUUUAUCUUAGGGGGAAGAAGUUAUAGGCUCCUGGGGCAGAGCAGCCCAGACAAGACUGGAGAUGGAAGGCUCAUUCAACAAGCGACCUCCUAGAGGUCACCAAGAGGGGAGAAGGGGUGACCACAGGGUGGGCUGGGCAGUGCAGUCUGAAUCCUGAGGAAUUUUCCUGGCCAGGGGAGGGAACGUGUUUCAAGGCAAGGAGGGCCAGAAAGGCCGGUGUAUGGUCAGAAGGAACUGCUUCACCAAGGUGCUCUUGCCUGGAAUUAACACUCUGAGGUUUCUCGCAGAUCUUAGGCUAGUCAAGGGUUUCCUGAUUAGGCUACAAAUGUGAAUCAUUCAGUCAGUAUAAAAUACAAUCUAUAACAGGUUGACGGGAAGAAGAAAGGAUGGGAAGGCAGUGUGAUGUCAUGGGAAGAACUAAGGCUUUGCAGCCAGACUUAACUGUGUGACCUUGGGCAAGUUACUUAACCCCUCUGAGCUUCAGUCCUUUCAUUUAUAAUAUGGGAAUAAUACUAUCUACCUAAAAAGGCUUUAGUGAUGAUUCAGUGAGAAACAUAUUUGAAGCAACAAGCACAGUAACUGGAAGCUG
rnacentral:lncRNA from 1 species